GGAAGACCCCUGUUGGCUAAAGGUAUAGAAGACCCCCUGUUGGCUAAAGGUAUGGUAGACCCCUGUUGGCUAAAGGUAUGGUAGACCCCUGUUGGCUAAAGGUAUGGUAGACCCCUGUUGGCUAAAGGUAUAGAUGACCCCUGUUGGCUAAAGGUAUAGAAGAGCCCUUUUGGCUAAAGGUAUGGUAGAACCCCUGUUGACUAAAGGUACAGAAGACCCCUGUUGGCUAAAGGUAUAGUAGACCCCCAGUUGGCUAAAGGUAUGGUAGACCCCCUGUUGGCUAAAGGUAUGGUAGACCCCUGCUGGCUAAAGGUAUAGUAGACCCCCUGUUGGCUAAAGGUAUAGUAGACCCCCUGUUGGCUAAAGGUACAGAAGACCCCUGUUGGCUAAAGGUAUGGUAGACCCCCUGCUGACUAAAGGUACAGAAGACCCCUGUUGGCUAAAGGUAUGGUAGACCCCCUGCUGACUAAAGGUAUGGUAGACCCCCUGCUGACUAAAGGUACAGAAGACCCCUGUUGGCUAAAGGUACAGAAGACCCCUGUUGGCUAAAGGUACAGAAGACCCCUGUUGGCUAAAGGUACAGAAGACCCCUGUUGGCUAAAGGUACAGAAGACCCCUGUUGGCUAAAGGUACAGAAGACCCCUGUUGGCUAAAGGUACAGAAGACCCCUGUUGGCUAAAGGUACAGAAGACCCCUGUUGGCUAAAGGUACAGAAGACCCCUGUUGGCUAAAGGUACAGAAGACCCCUGUUGGCUAAAGGUACAGAAGACCCCUGUUGGCUAAAGGUAUGGUAGACCCCCUGUUGGCUAAAGGUACAGAAGACCCCUGUUGGCUAAAGGUAUGGGAAGAAUGGAUGGGUUCACAUGCCCUUCAACUUUACCAACGCACUCAGAGCCCACAGGGUAAAGGCCAAUUACAGUAUGAUAAUGAGGAUUAGAAUUCACCUCCCAGCUGUUGUAAAGUCUAGUCUCAUCAUUCACACAGCUGUCCCCAAUUAGUCAUUUAAAUCUACACGAUUCCCUAUUAAAACGUCAUAACUGUUGCCCAGAGACGGUCUGCUGCACUCUUACGUAACCGUCUCUAACAUUUCAAUGUAUUUAUUUAGAUUUAACUAGGCAAGUCAGUUAAGAUCAAAUUCUUAUUUACAAUGACGGCCGAUGCUGGGCCAAUUGUGCGUCGCCCUAUGGGAGCCUUUUUUCGAACCAGGGACUGUAGUGACGCCUCUUGCACUGAGAUGCAGUGCCUUAGACCGCUGCGCCACUCAGGAGCCCGAUUGUGUCAGCCGUAGACUGUCUGCUGGUCUCUUUAACAUAACUGUGUCAGCUGGUCUCUUUAACAUAACUGUGUCUUCUGGUCUCUCUAACAUAACUGUGUCAGCUGUAGACUGUCUGCUGGUCUCUUUAACAUAACUGUGUCAGCUGGUCUCUAACAUAACUGUGUCAGCUGGUCUCUAACAUAACUGUGUCUUCUGGUCUCUUUAACAUAACUGUGUCUUCUGGUCUUUAACAUAACUGUGUCAGCUGUAGACUGUCUGCUGGUCUUUAACAUAACUGUGUCUUCUGGUCUCUCUAACAUAACUGUGUCUUCUGGUCUCUCUAACAUAACUGUGUCAGCUGGUCUCUAACAUAACUGUGUCUUCUGGUCUCUUUAACAUAACUGUGUCAGCUGGUCUUUAACAUAACUGUGUCAGCUGUAGACUGUCUGCUGGUCUCUUUAACAUAACUGUGUCUUCUGGUCUCUAACAUAACUGUGUCAGCUGUAGACUGUCUGCUGGUCUCUUUAACAUAACUGUGUCUUCUGGUCUCUCUAACAUAACUGUGUCUGCUGGUCUCUCUAACAUAACUGUGUCAGCUGGUCUCUCUAACAUAACUGUGUCAGCUGGUCUCUCUAACAUAACUGUGUCAGCUGUAGACUGUCUGCUGGUCUUUAACAUAACUGUGUCAACUGUAGACUGUCUGCUAUAGACUGUCUGCUAGUCUCUAACAUAACUGUGUCAGCUGUAGACUGUCUGCUGGUCUCUAACAUAACUGUGCCAGCUGUAGACUGUCUAUUGGUCUUUAACAUGACUGUGUCUGCUGGUCUCUUUAACAUAACUGUGUCUUCUGGUCUCUCUAACAUAACUGUGUCAGCUGUAGACUGUCUGCUGGUCUUUAACAUAACUGUGUCUGCUGGUCUCUAACAUAACUGUGUCAGCUGUAGACUGUCUGCUGGUCUCUUUAACAUAACUGUGUCUUCUGGUCUCUCUAACAUAACUGUGUCAGCUGUAGACUGUCUGCUGGUCUUUAACAUAACUGUGUCAACUGUAGACUGUCUGCUAGUCUUAACAUAACUGUGUCAGCUGUAGACUGUCUGCUGGUCUCUAACAUAACUGUGCCAGCUGUAGACUGUCUAUUGGUCUUUAACAUGACUGUGUCUGCUGGUCUCUUUAACAUAACUGUGUCUUCUGGUCUCUCUAACAUAACUGUGUCAGCUGUAGACUGUCUGCUGGUCUCUUUAACAUAACUGUGUCAGCUGGUCUUUAACAUAACUGUGUCAGCUGGUCUCUAACAUAACUGUGUCUGCUGUAGACUGUCUGCUGGUCUCUAACAUAACUGUGUCUGCUGUAGACUGUCUGCUGGUCUCUUUAACAUAACUGUGUCUGCUGGUCUCUUUAACAUAACUGUGUCAGCUGGUCUCUUUAACAUAACUGUGUCAGCUGUAGACUGUCUGCUGGUCUUUAACAUAACUGUGUCUGCUGGUCUCUUUAACAUAACUGUGUCAGCUGUAGACUGUCUGCUGGUCUCUUUAACAUAACUGUGUCUGCUGGUCUCUAACAUAACUGUGUCUGCUGGUCUCUUUAACAUAACUGUGUCAGCUGGUCUUUAACAUAACUGUGUCAGCUGUAGACUGUCUGCUGGUCUCUUUAACAUAACUGUGUCAGCUGUAGACUGUCUGCUGGUCUCUAACAUAACUGUGUCUGCUGUAGACUGUCUGCUGGUCUCCAACUGUGCUAUUUGAUUUAGUGGAAGAGAAGGUUUGCUUUGAUGAAGUAUAGUAGUCAACCUAAUGUUUGGUCUCUCCUGUAGAGACAGUUUUAUAUAUAUUUUCCUAAAAUCAAAGUAAACACUAUUUUAAUCCAAUUAAUUUGAUUUGAUGGAUAUUGGAUCAUGGCUUGAUGUCUGAUAAAGGUCAUUGUGACUGAAACGUCAACAUCUUUUUAAUCUUUAUCUGAUUUAGACCAACAUUUAUUUUUUCUAAACGUGAGUGUCAUGCCUUCUGCCCGCAUUCAAGGGCACUGGACCAUAAACGUUUACAAGACUUAGUUUAGCUCCCUUCAUCGGACUGAGUUAGCAUAGUAAGCCUGUUAGAGAAGAGGGCUAGCUGCAGUAUUACGUUAUGCUUCUGCCCUGCAGUCAAACUGAGUUAGAGGGUAUUAGAAAGUGCUCUUACAGCUCCGUCUGAGACCAGGGAGACGCUCUCCUCUAGUUAAAGAGAUGAGUAGACUCUCUCUAUAGCUUUGUCUCUUUGACCUCCUGUAGUUUUAGGACACAGGCUUGACCUCUG